rnacentral:rRNA from 1 species
GUGGAUUAGAUACCCUAGUAGUCCACGCCGUAAACGAUGAGUACUAGGUGUUGCGGGUAUUGACCCCUGCAGUGCCGCAGCUAACGCAUUAAGUACUCCGCCUGGGAAGUACGGUCGCAAGACUAAAACUCAAAGGAAUUGACGGGGGCCCGCACAAGCGGUGGAGCAUGUGGUUUAAUUCGACGCAACGCGAAGAACCUUACCUGGGCUUGACAUCCGUGGAACCUUGUGGAAACACGAGGGUGCCUUCGGGAGCCACGAGACAGGUGCUGCACGGCUGUCGACAGCU